GUGGGGAAUCUUCCGCAAUGGACGAAAGUCUGACGGAGCAACGCCGCGUGAGUGAAGAAGGUUUUCGGAUCGUAAAGCUCUUUCGUUAGGGACGAACGUGCUCUUUGUGAAUAAUGAGGAGUAAUGACGGUACCUAAAUAAGAAGCCACGGCUAACUACGUGCCAGCAGCCGCGGUAAUACGUAGGUGGCAAGCGUUGUCCGGAAUUAUUGGGCGUAAAGCGCGCGCAGGCGGGAUAUCAAGUCUGUCUUAAAAGUGCGAGGCUCAACCUCGUGAGGGGACAGAAACUGGUAUUCUUGAGUGUCGGAGAGGAAAGUGGAAUUCCAAGUGUAGCGGUGAAAUGCGUAGAGAUUUGGAAGAACACCAGUGGCGAAGGCGACUUUCUGGACGAUGUCUGACGCUGAGGUGCGAAAGCUAGGGGAGCGAACGGGAUUAGAUACCCCAGUAGUCC
rnacentral:rRNA from 1 species